CUCUGAAGGGACAGACAGAACAGGACCUGGUCUCAACGAUCCUAAAGCUCAGUGGGGAGUAUGGUCUGAUGAAAGAUGAAGCCUACUGCCAGGUGAUGAAACAGGUCACAGGAAACACCAGCUCCAAAACGGACAGUUGUCAGAGAGGCUGGAGGCUACUCUACAUCCUGACUG